GACGAACGCUGGCGGCGUGCCUAACACAUGCAAGUCGAACGGAGCUAUUGACUUCGGUUGAUAGCUUAGUGGCGAACGGGUGAGUAACGCGUGAGCAACCUGUCUUUCAGAGGGGGAUAACAACGAGAAAUCGUUGCUAAUACCGCAUAAGACCACACUGUCGCAUGGCAGAGGGGUAAAAGGAGCAAUCCGCUGAUUGAGGGGCUCGCGUCCCAUUAGAUAGUAGGUGAGGUAACGGCUCACCUAGUCUGCGAUGGGUAGCCGAGCUGAGAGGCUGAACGGCCACACUGGAACUGAGACACGGUCCAGACUCCUACGGGAGGCAGCAGUGGGGAAUAUUGCACAAUGGGGGAAACCCUGAUGCAGCAACGCCGCGUGAGUGAUGACGGCCUCGGUUGUAAGUACGUACUCGUCUUCUACGGUACGGAAGUAAUAGACGGUACGUACGAGGAGGAAGGACGACGGACCGUAACGUAACCGUACGUACCGACGCAGACCGCGGAACCGAACGUAA
rnacentral:rRNA from 1 species